UACGGGGGGAGCAAGCGUUGUUCGGAUUUACUGGGCGUAAAGGGCGCGUAGGCGGCGUAACAAGUCACUUGUGAAAUCUCCGGGCUUAACUCGGAGCGGUCAAGUGAUACUGUUGUGCUAGAGUGCGGAAGGGGCUACUGGAAUUCUCGGUGUAGCGGUGAAAUGCGUAGAUAUCGAGAGGAACACCUGCGGCGAAGGCGGGUUGCUGGGCCGACACUGACGCUGAUGCGCGAAAGCCAGGGGAGCGAACGGG
rnacentral:rRNA from 1 species